UGGGGAAUUUUGGACAAUGGGCGAAAGCCUGAUCCAGCAAUGCCGCGUGUGUGAAGAAGGCCUUCGGGUUGUAAAGCACUUUUGUCCGGAAAGAAAUCCUUGGCUCUAAUACAGUCGGGGGAUGACGGUACCGGGAAGAAUAAGCACCGGCUAACUACGUGCCAGCAGCCGCGGUAAUACGUAGGGUGCAAGCGUUAAUCGGAAUUACUGGGCGUAAAGCGUGCGCAGGCGGUUUGCUAAGACCGAUGUGAAAUCCCCGGGCUCAACCUGGGAACUGCAUUGGUGACUGGCAGGCUAGAGUAUGGCAGAGGGGGGUAGAAUUCCACGUGUAGCAGUGAAAUGCGUAGAGAUGUGGAGGAAUACCGAUGGCGAAGGCAGCCCCCUGGGCCAAUACUGACGCUCAUGCACGAAAGCGUGGGGAGCAAACAGGAUUAGAUACCCUGGUAGUCCACGCCCUAAACGAUGUCAACUAGUUGUUGGGGAUUCAUUUCCUUAGUAACGUAGCUAACGCGUGAAGUUGACCGCCUGGGGAGUACGGUCGCAAGAUUAAAACUCAAAUGAAUUGACGGGGUCAUAGCUG
rnacentral:rRNA from 1 species